GCAAGAGAUAGGCAGUCUUAAUCAAGAAGAAGUUGAGAGGGUGAGGUCUCUUAUUUGCAACCUUGACAAACCAGCAGGUACUGGUUCAUUGGCGUAUUCAGGACGAGGAUUCGGGGAGGAUGAUUGGACAUGCUAGAGAACGGGAUGGACUCUACUAUCUCAAAGCACCAAGUCAAUCAAACAUUACCAAAGGCAAAUCAUCUCAUUCUUUUGUCUCAGAAGUUUUUUCAUUCAAUAAAGAAAAAGUUUGGCUUCAUCAUCGCCGACUUGGACAUCCA